rnacentral:tRNA from 1 species
GGGCGUUUAGCUCAGCGGGAGAGCACUGCCUUCACACGGCAGGGGUCGCUGGUUCAAUCCCAGCAACGCCCA